rnacentral:rRNA from 1 species
UGGGGAAUAUUGGACAAUGGGGGGAACCCUGAUCCAGCCAUGCCGCGUGUGUGAAGAAGGCCUUAUGGUUGUAAAGCACUUUAAGCGAGGAGGAGGGUACUGGUAUUAAUACUACCAGGUACUGGACGUUACUCGCAGAAUAAGCACCGGCUAACUCUGUGCCAGCAGCCGCGGUAAUACAGAGGGUGCGAGCGUUAAUCGGAAUUACUGGGCGUAAAGCGCGCGUAGGUGGUUCGUUAAGUUGAAUGUGAAAGCCCCGGGCUCAACCUGGGAACUGCAUCCAAAACAGGCGGGCUAGAGUAGGGCAGAGGGUGGUGGAAUUUCCUGUGUAGCGGUGAAAUGCGUAGAUAUAGGAAGGAACACCAGUGGUGAAGGCAACCACCUGGGCUCAUACUGACACUGAGGUGCGAAAGCGUGGGGAGCAAACAGG